AGGACCGUAGUUUACUGUUUCUGAAGUCAGCUUCGCAGCUUCUCUGAAGUAACCUUUAUUUCCUCUGUACACUUCUCAUUUCAAUUGGAACUGUUUGAGGAAUCUCAUCAUGACGAGCAAACUUUUGGUGAUCAUGAUCUGUCUGAUAGCUGAGGGAGAAUGUGGUGUCUUGAAGAAACGGUCUGGAGGUACACUCUUUAAAAUAGAUGAAGCCCCAAAUUUCAGGGCUGGGUUUGGCUCAGAAGAGUUCAGAGGAGUAAAAAGAUCUGCGAAUAAUGCUCCCAGUUUAAGAGGAGUUAAAAGAUCUGAGGAAGAUGCUCCUAAUUUCAGAGGAGUAAAAAGAUCUGCGGAAGAUGUUCCCAAUUUAAGAGGAGUCAAACGAUCGGCGGAAGAUAUUCCAAAUCUAAGAGGAGCCAAAAGAUCUGCGAAUGAUGCUGCUGAUUUUAGAGGAGUCAAAAGAUCCGCGGAAGAUGCUCCUGAUUUUAGAGGAGUCAAAAGAUCCGCGGAAGAUGCUCCUGAUUUCAGAGGAGUCAAACGAUCGGCGGAAGGUAUUCCAAAUCUAAGAGGAGCCAAGAGAUCUGCGAAUGAUGCUCCUGAUUUUAGAGGAGUCAAAAGAUCUGCAAAUGAUGCUCCUGAUUUUAGAGGAGUCAAAAGAUCCGCGGAAGAUGCUCCUGAUUUCAGAGGAGUCAAACGAUCGGCGGAGAAUGCACCUGAUUUCAGAGGAGUCAAAAGAUCCGCAGAAUAAUUCCCUCCUCAUUUGCGAGGAUAAAAGGAAUUUUCUGAAGGAGUUUCACACUUUCGGGGUUCAUUGAAGGACUCAGACCUUAGGUCUGGUACUGUUUCGACACAACAAUUGAAUUAUCCCGGAUGAUUUGAUCUUGACUCUAGCUCAAUAGGAAAUAAUUUAAUUCAUUUAGUUUGCAAAUUGUUGUCGUCUUUUCGUAUGUUCGUUCUAUGUAAUUUUAUGAAAUUUUUGUUUUUUAACUUGUAGUGAAAUUGAUGAGCUAAGUAUCGUGUCUACCCUUAUGACCUGAAUCUAUUUGAAUAAUCUAUCUAUUUGAUCAUAUGUUGACCAAAUAAAAUAUAUACAUAACGUUCGGUGAAUUCAAUUUCUUAAUUCUGAUAACUCACUUUGAGAGAUUCCGAGCUCAGCUCUACUUGCUUACUGUCCAGGAUUUAUUUAUGCUGUAAAUUGUAAAUACUACUUUCGAA